GGACGAACGCUGGCGGCGUGCCUAAUACAUGCAAGUCGAACGCUGAAGGAGGAGCUUGCUUCUCUGGAUGAGUUGCGAACGGGUGAGUAACGCGUAGGUAACCUGCCUGGUAGCGGGGGAUAACUAUUGGAAACGAUAGCUAAUACCGCAUAAGAGUAGAUGUUGCAUGACAUUUGCUUAAAAGGUGCAAUUGCAUCACUACCAGAUGGACCUGCGUUGUAUUAGCUAGUUGGUGGGGUAACGGCUUACCAAGGCGACGAUACAUAGCCGACCUGAGAGGGUGAUCGGCCACACUGGGACUGAGACACGGCCCAGACUCCUACGGGAGGCAGCAGUAGGGAAUCUUCGGCAAUGGACGGAAGUCUGACCGAGCAACGCCGCGUGAGUGAAGAAGGUUUUCGGAUCGUAAAGCUCUGUUGUAAGAGAAGAACGAGUGUGAGAGUGGAAAGUUCACACUGUGACGGUAUCUUACCAGAAAGGGACGGCUAACUACGUG
rnacentral:rRNA from 1 species